rnacentral:piRNA from 1 species
UCCACAGGGACAACUGGAUUAGGAG